rnacentral:tmRNA from 1 species
GGGGACGUUACGGAUUCGACAGGCAUAGUUCGAGCUUGGAUUGCGCUCCGUAGGUUGCGUCUACGUAAAAACGCUCAGUUAAAAUAUAACUGCUAAAAACAAUAACAAUUCUUACGCUUUAGCUGCGUAAAAACAG